rfam:Pan troglodytes isolate Yerkes chimp pedigree #C0471 (Clint) chromosome 4, whole genome shotgun sequence.
GGUCUCCGCACUGGCCAGCAUGCAGAACAUUCUGUUCAGUAAGCACUGGACAGAGGGCCCCAUCUAGAUGAGACAGAGCUGGUGGGGCAGGACAGGACUCCUGGCAGCUCAAAACGGCCUGGCAGAUGCUUGGAGAGAGGGGCUUCUUGAGACAGCACAUUUCUGGGAAGAGAGUCACCCGGGAGGAUGAGGCCACGCUCCGGCUUGGAGGUGAAGGGAGGGCCCGC